ensembl:lncRNA
CAAAAAAAGAGGCCAAAUCAGCAGUUGCAGUUCCCCUUUAAGGCUGACAUGUUUGAGAGCACAUAGAAAAUGGACUUAGUGCUUUAUGACUAAGUUUUUGCGAAAAUUUGGCCACCUGCCUUCUGUCUGCUUCGCUUCCUGUGCCCCUUUGUUUCUUUGGUAUAGUUUGUAUGUUUUUCUAAUGAUUUUAAGUAGCAUGGUUAUUAAGUUAAAAGUAAAGAGGAAAUGGUAUAUGGAAAUUAAGCAUUCUAACUGAAUUGUGAAAAUGUUAACUUGAUUACUGAAACAGUGACUUGAAAACGAAGACAUGAAAAUAAAUGUUGAAAACUGUCCUGUUAGUUGUUUGCCUCUGCUUCACUCUGCUUGCUCAACCCAGUCCCUAUAAAACCUGUCACUUUUCUACCUUCUGACACUUGGCGUAACAAGUGCAGGGUCUGGGCCAUUGAGUGGGCAGUUGUGGGGCAGGGGCCAGUUUUGUUUUCCUUUUACGGUCUUGUGUUUCUGUGUCCUCUCAGGUUCUGCAGUCUCUCCCGUGGUUGUCUGGGCGCAGCUGGGGCAGAAGAGGAAGCCACCCCUGCUGGUCUAUGAGACUUUGUGCGACCUAACCGGCCUGGCGUGUUAAGGUGCCCUAUAAGUGAAGACUGAGCAGCUCUGUGGACAUGGCUGAAGGAUGUGUGUGGUCUGAUGAAGCUGAGGGGGAAGUUCCAGCUAAGAGGACAGGAUAACACUGCCAUGGGGGCCCGCAGAGAGCUGGAUGGAAUGGUCCACUCAAAGUGGGUGAGCGAUGGGGCUGAAGCGACCAAGAUGGGGCCAUCUGAUGCCCCAGGUCUACCAGGAGAGAGGAAACAGUGGAUGGAGACGACAACAAGAAUGGCCCUGGCUGCCCUAGGACACCAUGUGGGAGAGCUGCUAGCUUGAAGUGUUUUCACUCACUCUGCGAGGAAACUCUCAUUUUAAAGAAGGGGUGUAGUCCAGAGGCAUGGUGGAUCCUUGUUGCAACAGAGCGUAUGACCUGCCAUUGGCAUUAAACAAAGCCUGUGUGUACAUGCAUGCUGAUGAUUCAACCAUAUAUGUGUUAGCAACCACAGCUAAUGAAGUCACUGAAAUUCUUAACAAGGAGUUGCAGUCAGUUUUGGAAUGGGUGUCGAGUAAUAAACUGGUCCUGAACAUCCCUAAAACUAAGAGCAUUUUAUUUGGUACAAAUCAUUCCUAGCAAACCUAGUUUAAAACAAACAGAAAGCAAUUCCUCUCCCCCUUUUGACCUAGAAAUCGUGUGUAUGUAUUGAUAUAUAGGCUAUGUGUGCCGUUUUUAAAUGUAUGUAGUUCUGUCAUUGAGCUGUUUUUGUCAAUUAAUGUUCUGUAUAAUGCUAUGUUUUGUGUGGACCCCAGGAAGAGUAGCUGCUGCUUCCGCAACAGGUAAUGCUUCAAUCAACUCUGCCUCACGCCCCACCACUACAGAGUUUAGUUAGCUUCUUAGUUAGCUGUAAAAGGUGUUAGUGUUAUUAGCCUAUUUAGCGCUAACCAGCUAAUCUGCCAAUGCCACAAUGGAUAUCGGAAAUCAAACCAUCAAAGAUGCCUCCAAGCCCAGCAGCAAUGAUGGUGCUGAGCUCCAAAGCCCCCCCCCAUUCACAUAUGCCGCCAGGAUAAUGGCUCCACAGUCCCCUCCACCCCUGACUGUUCCUGACAAUCUUGGAAGAGGAGCCAGCCCAGAUUAGCCUAGAAUCCUACCAUAACAACAUGUUUUCUGUCCAGAAACAUUAAUUUAAUAUCAACUGCUUCAUAGGAGGAGAGUGGCUGGAAUACUCAGUUACUGCAGAUGCUGUAUUUUUGUUCCAAUGUCAAAAGUUCUGUAUUGGGUCCAUUGCUAAUGCAGACAAGGCCUUCACCCAAAGCGGGUAUUCUAACUAGAAGCAUGCUUUUGAUGAAACCAAGGGAUUCGCUAGGCACGCAUCAAGCAUGGUGCAUGGAGCAUUUGAAAUGCACUGCACUGUGGAAAGAAAAACUAAUUGUAUUCAGUUGCAUUCACAUAGGCUGUUUGUAAUAGGUGAAUUACCCCAUCUAUCUUGUAGCCUAUAUUCAUUGGCAAAUAGGCCUUGCUUUACUGUGUAAGGCGCUGUCCAUUGUGCUGAUACAGUGCAGCGGAGAUGGGUUUAUAGAUUUCGCGCCAACCUGUCACUUCAAAAGCACUCAAUGGUCUCAGAGUUUUGGCAUUUUAACUUUGUUUGUGGUAUAGCGUGAUAUAAUCAGAAUUCAAUAUAUUUCCAAUGCAAGAACCCCCCCCCCCCCAAAAGUGUGUCCCCUCACAGAUUUCAACUGUCCCCUUAGUCACUUUAACUUGCCGCAGGGUCUGUGCUGUAUGACUGGGAGAAUCUCAAUGCCCUUUUCUGAAAUAGAUUUGGUCAACUCCUGCAUCCUCUCUCCCGUCCUCUCUAACCUCCUUUUGAAAAAGGUCAAAAAGGUAAUUGAGGAGGCCGCUAGGAGAGGGAUCGUGGACGAAGAUGCGGUUGUUUGAAAUCAGACUCUCCUUUUCCAAUCGCGUGUCAUAAAUGUAUAAAGUGAUAGUUGUGCAAGACAUUUUAUAGAUAAAAGGAUCAUUAGCAUAUUGUUUUUAAAUGGUUGCGUGCUUUUCUACUUCGAGUAAACAAUAGCUGACUCAAAGUGUAAAAAGAUUUCCAAUCUCUUCCGCGAAGGACUCAGGGUUGUGCUUCCUUGCCAAUAGCAGGCUAUCGAGGAGGGGACCGUGUUCUGUUUUUCCACUAAUGAACUGAAACAUUCCUCGGCCACUUAUCGGUUUCCGGCUCACUGAGGAGUUUGCCCAAAGGAGAACUCCAAUUGCAUACUCAUGUCCUCUCUCCUCACCUCCUUCUCAAAAGAGAAAAAGGGUAUACAGAAAUGAAGCAUUCUAAGUGAAUUGUGAAAACGAGUUGAGAAUGUUGAAACUUGAUUACAGAAACGAAACCAUGUCUUAUGAAAAUAAAUGUAGAAAACUGUC